rnacentral:sRNA from 1 species
AAUCAGAAGAUUGGCAGGAUUUAGGAAUCUAUUUGAAAUAUUCAUUACCUAUUUUGAACUGGUCUUAAAAAUUUAAAGGAAUGUAAAGCUGGAUAAUUAAAGAUAAAAAAGGAAGAAUACAAGUUUUCUAUGCUAUGAAGCGACUGAGAUUAUUAUUAUUUUGGGGCAGUGAAUUUGUUUCUAGAAGUUUUGUUGGAACUAAGGCAAAAAGGAAGAAAAACAAAUGACCUUGGAAUGAAAAACUUUAAGAUUCUAUCAUGGACUGAAUGCUGGACAGACCCAGUACAUACUUGUUGAGUGACUAAUGUCCUACAUUAGAGAUCACCAAGCAAGACUUUUUUCAAGAAGCAAAAACUCUCAUUGCCCAACAUUAUGAGAAAAUAAAUGAGAAUAAAGUUCAAGGUACUUCUAUAAAUGUUUUUAGAAAGAAACACCAAAAACUGAAAUCUGGCAAAUACAUACCUUUGGAGAUUGACAAAAAGGAAACACGUGAUGUGGUGCAAGAACAUCAGGCAACACUCAGAAGGAUUUGCUUUCCCAAGGAGCUUUCCAAAAGU